GUGCCACAUUCGGCUUUUGGUAAGCUCUGACAGCAGCAUUCAGCACAUGCAUACUCUGGCACGUCGUGAGCUCAAUCGGUUUGUUGAGAAGUGAGGAGCACAAGUAACAUUUUAACUCGCCAGGUACGUUAAUUAUGUUGGCAAACGUUAAUUAUGUUGUUACGGACUUUUGAAGCUGGAACACUGGCCAAUUUUACAAGGUAAACGUUUCGUUUUGCUUCCUUUUUGAUAUAAUCCUCCUCAUCGUAGGCUCCCAUCUGAAGUUUUUUCACUUUUGAUGUGAAGAAUGCUCCCAGGUUUGUUAUUCUCUUUCACUAGCAUUCACAUAACACGCGAUCAAAUUGAUUUUAGAUAAUGCUGAAGUCUGGACUAAUUACGUAAGUGCCACUAUUCUGUUGUGUUUUGUGAUGCGUUAUCGCUUCUAUAGAUACUAGAUGUUGUCACAAGAAUGAACUAAAGAUAAAGCAACAAUUUCCCGUUGCGAGAUCUCUUCGAGAUGAAAAAGAGCCCUUGUAAUGUGUACAGCACACUGUAACAAUUCAAGCUGUUGACUGACUUCAUAGUACGCCGGUA